rfam:Ciona savignyi cont_26942, whole genome shotgun sequence.
UCACUCUGGCUUCUCUUCAACGUAUGAUUCUUUCGCCUUUUACUAAUGAAUUCCGUGGAGAGGAGCAGUUCAAUGAGUCUUGAACAUUUUUCGAUAUCCGACUUUGGUCGGUUU